rnacentral:lncRNA from 1 species
UUUUCUGAGCGGGUAAAAUUAAUUAAUUAUUUUCUUAUUCUUGAAAACAAUACGACCGGCGGAUCCGUAAAACAAGAAAUAAAAUUGGUCUGGCCUAAUAAUUACUGUCAAAUUUAUGACUGUUUGUGUUAGGACAGGUGAUCUUCAGCACAAGAGUCAGUUACUGUGUUUCAUCUAGUGAAGUUGUGAAAUUUAAUAAGCAAAUAUCAACCAGGAAUAUACCUUUAAACUAUUAAAUACUUGAAAAAAUAAUUUUGUAUUGGGUUUAAACAUACCUAUUCUCAGUAUAUGCAGGAUGUCAUGAACAAAUUCCAAACAAAUGGGGGCUGUUUAUAGUUUAAUGUCUUGAAACCAUGACUGAAAAAAAUAUUCAAACAAAAAUCCAAGCUUGUACGCCCCAACAAAGUAAUUAUUUAUUAACAGUCAGAUAUUUUGCUGUAAUUUUAGUCUCAGUGGGGGAAAGAGAGAGAUCAGCUUCAUUUUGAAAUGUACAUUUUUGAAACUUACGUUUGUAAACCAAGCAAUAUUUCUAAAUAUUCCUGAAUAGUUGGCAUUCAGAAAAUAAUGUUGGACAUUUGAGAAACAAAACUGUAAAACAAGUCCCCAAAUGUAAAAAUAAACUAUGUGUGAGGUUUGUUAUAUAGGCCCAGUUAGAGGUCAUUAUCAUUGAUCCCUAUGUACAUGCAGUAGUAAACAUUGUUGAUACUUGGAAUAUAGUAUAUGUGCUCAAUCUCAGCCAUAGAUGUGCUCACGCCGAUCACACAGGAUUUAUGCUAUAUCAGGCUUGCCUUUUAAUGCCACAAUGUUUAUGUAAUAUUGACAUUCAAUCAUCAAAAUCAGAUUCUACACUUAUUUCUCGACCUUUGAAAUAUUGUUCAAUCAAAAGAGGCAUCAGUCAUUCAGAUUUUGAGACAUGGUUGAAACUAUGUUGUUUCCCAAGAACAUAAACAGCUUUAUUACCAAGUUCUAUGACAACUCUGUAAUGAAUGCUUGAUGACCAAUACAUGUAAUGUUGCUGUAGUAAGGAUGUGAGAAGCCCAUUUCUGGUGUCCCCUGCAGGGAUAUUACUGGAAUAUUGCUAAAAGCGGCAUAAAACUAAACUCACUUACUGUAGUAAGGAAAAUUGUUGGGAAAUUGUUUUACUUCCCAAGUGAUUGAUCAAUGCGUUUCGUUCUCAUGCAAAUGCUGGCUCAAUGCUGACUGUCAAGAUGAUUGUCAAGAUGAUGGUUGGAAGAGAUUGUACAGUGUAUCUAGUCAUGUUUGAACAUUAACUCGAUCCAAAUCCAUUGUCUUUGAUUCCUGGUCAAUGACGAUGUAAUAUUUUCCUGUAACCUUUGUGAUGUAGAGUGUCUUGUCUUCCAUUGUUAUUGCCAAUCAUGCAGUAUUCAUUGAUCUGAAGAGGGCGGUGGGGUAGCCUAGUGGUUAAAGCGUUCACUCGUCACGCCGAAGACCUGUGUUCGAUUCCCCACAUGGGCACAAUGUGUGAAGUCCAUUUCUGUUGUCCUCUGCCGUGAUAUUGCUGGAAUAUUGCUAAAAGCGGUGUAAAGCUAAACUCACUCACUCAUUGAUCUGAACUGAUGUCAGCAUGGCACCUCAGUCAGGUGUAUCCUGAGGAUGUUGCAGGUCUGAGAUGAUCCCCAGUACCUCAAUGCUUGUCCUGAGAGCUGACUUAAACAGGAACAUUUACGCUGUUUGAUGGUUCUGAUUGCAUGGUCAUCAUAUCGGAGAUGCCAACCCUGAAUCUAAUGAAUGUGGAGUCCUGCAGCAUGGUUGGCUCCGCCAUUUUGUUUCACUUUACAUACAGACUAUGACAUGCAUUCGGAAACACUUCAUUGUCAAUAACACGCAAUAUACACAAUUGAGACCCAAAAGAUCACAUGCUAAGCUUCCGAAUGCUUUUACCAGUGUCAACUCAAAUAAAUCACUGAUGUUUUACGAAAUUGUAUGCUGUAUCAUACUAUCAGAAUUGUUCCACAAAAAUCGGAGUUUUUCAAGACAAAUCAGAGAGCGGAUUUGGUAUUUGAAAAUCGGAGUAACUCCGCCCAAAGUAACUCCGCCGGAGUGGUUGGUAGGGGUGAAACGUUAUACGUCCGGUAUACCGUAAUGCAAUCCCAAAAUUCGGUAUUUUCGGUUUUCCUACCGUCAUUUCUAUCUAGUCAUAAAAUGACAGUUUUGUUCAUUCAAAAUAACAAAGAUUAAAUGGUUAUUUUUUCCAUGUUAUUAAACAAUGUAAGGCUUGGCUCUUGUUUUCAAUUUUCUGCAUUAUGAUCAUAUCUUAUAUAUACCGAACUGAAACUGACCAAACCAAAGGCUUUGUACCGCAAUAUGUACCGUACCGUGGUAAGAGCAUACCGUUUCACCCCUAGUGGUUGGCAUCUCUGCUGUAUCAUUAUGACAUGGAUCAUUGUUGAUGCUGUCUGUCACAGGUUUGCCUGGUUCAGACAUGAUUAUUACAGGCCACCAUGAUAUAGCUGAAAUAUAGCUGACAGUGGUGAUACAAUAACAUACACUCACCCACUCCUUCAAGUGUGUGAACACUAAAGGCCUGAUUGCCCGAGAGGACGAAAGGAGGAGUCUGGCUAAAGGAAUAAGUUUAUGUUUGUUUCCAUUAUGUCUAGUUUCAUUGAUUGUUUUGGAAAUCAUUGCUUUUGCUGUCGAGCUUGAUAAAAGAUGAUCCUCCAUCUACAGAUCUCCAUGAUGCAAUUUGUGAUCCGUGUUCUCGGCAGAGGUUGUCCUUGCAGCAAGGUGAUGGACCUGCUGAGCAGGAUACACUUUGAAAAGAUGGCGAGUGAAUUGCUGUUUGUUAAUAAACAUUUGAUAAUAGGGCAAAGUUUCUGCUUUGAAUAGUCACACAUCUGAGGUGUUUGUUUUUACUUUUGUUUGUUAUUUCUAAGCAAUUUAUAUAAAUGUUUGUUCUUGAAUUGUGCAAAUACCUCAAGAAUACGUAGUGCAUGCUGUAUAGACACGACCUGCUUAGUGCUAUUAGUAUAUCCCUGUGUAUCAAGUCAACUAUCAUACACCCAAAAUGAAGACAUGCAUUGCUUGGUCAUUUUAGUCUUUUAUUAUAAGUUGUACUUAUUAAUAUAUAUGUUUAAAAAAAGUUCUGAUUCUGAAUUAGCUCUUGUAAAUGACACAUUUACUGUUAACUACACAAAUGGGUGUUGGUAGGAAUGAAUUUUAACUAUAUGAUCUCUCUGGAUAAAAUGUCUUCUUUUUAGAAGAGUUUGUGUAGUCAGGUGUCCCCUGUUUCAAGUGUGAGAUUAACAGCAACCGUUAAAGGUCAAUACCAGUGUAUGAAAUAAGGCCAAUCCAACGCCCAAGACGGUCGAGAUUUCUGACGGACAGUCUAAAUUUACAACUAGCCAGCCCUGAUGGUCUGGUAAGAUGUUUAGAUGUUCCAUACAUCUGAGUAAAUUCACCAUAUUUGGUCUGGUUAAAUCCAUUUUGGGCUGGUAACAUUUUGAACUAGCCAGCCCUGAUGUCUGGCUGGAUUUUGGGCUUAUUUCAUUCACUGUCAAUACACAAGGUUUUCCUAAACUUUAAAGCUGACAUUUGAGGUGCACUAAAAUAGUCUCUUGCAAACCUUGUCCAUAUUAGACAAAUGUUAAGAAAAUAUUUUGCUGUCUACUCACUUUUUUAUGUUUUUGAUAUACUUCCUACAGCCCUUUUUGAGGGAUCUAUGGAUCAAGUAAUGAUUGUAAAAUACAAUUAACAGUUUAUUUCUCAUAUAACACUCAUCCGAUCCUAGAAAAUUGCACUUGUAUUUUAACACCUUAGUGCUGUAGAUUAAACUUCAGUGACCAUUGUUACAUAGACCCUAGUAUGUUACAUUGUAGGGUUUUGUGAGAUACUUUUGUAAAAUAUUACAAAUACUGUACAAAUAACAUUGUUCAUAUGACCUUAUGGCAUGACGUUUCCUCUGUCACGUUUAUUGAAACCUUUGAUUUUUGUCGUCUCACACCUCUGACACCGGCCCUGGGAUGAUGAAAGUUUACAUGGAUAAUCCAUCAGUGGUGGCACUAAUAGCUCAAACAGUCCAAUGUUUUAAUCUUGUAUCACCUGCAUUUCAGUUCAGUUUAUUUGUCCUGUAUAUUGCUACUUCAGAUACAUGAAGGCGAGCUACAGAGCAUUGGCUUAAUUUUUAUGUUUGCAUAAGGUCUGUUAAAGAACAUCUCAGAACCCCAUUAUGGCAUGACUUCAGUAUUUGAUGGCGUUAUACUGACCGGGUAGGCGUUAUACUGCCUGGACAGGCGUUAUACUGACCGGGUAGGCGUUAUACUGCCUGGACAGGCGUUAUACUGACCGGGUAGGCGUUAUACUGCCUGGUAAAGGCACCAAGUAGUGCACAUACAGCAAUGUCCCAUCCAGAAGCUGUUGUGGCUGGAAUGGGCACUGUACAUAGACUAGUUGUCAUCUCAUGCAUGUCCUGCAAACAAUGCUCUCAACACAUCUGUCAUUUGGAAUAAACAAGUGUUUUAUAGA